rnacentral:tRNA from 1 species
GGAUUGUGGCUCAGCGGUAGAGUGCUCGCCUAGUACAUGCAAAGCCCUGGGUUCGAUCCUCAGCACCA